UACGGAGGGGGCUAGCGUUGUUCGGAAUUACUGGGCGUAAAGCGCACGUAGGCGGCUUUGUAAGUUAGAGGUGAAAGCCCGGGGCUCAACUCCGGAAUUGCCUUUAAGACUGCAUCGCUAGAAUUGUGGAGAGGUAAGUGGAAUUCCGAGUGUAGAGGUGAAAUUCGUAGAUAUUCGGAAGAACACCAGUGGCGAAGGCGACUUACUGGACACAUAUUGACGCUGAGGUGCGAAAGCGUGGGGAGAAAACAGG
rnacentral:rRNA from 1 species